rnacentral:misc_RNA from 1 species
AAAGUCGUAACAAAGGUUUCCGUAGGUGAACCUGCGGAAGGAUCAUUACUGAGUUAGGGUCUACCGAGGCCCGAACCUCCAACCCUUGUGCUUAACUAUACCAUGUUGCUUCGGCGGGCCCGCCUCCGGUAGGGGGCUGCUUGGAUUGAUUAACCACAGUCUGGUCCGCGCCCGUCGGUAGCCCAACUUCAAACUCUUGAUAAAUCGUGUCGUCUGAGUAAAAACAAACAAAAUUAAAAAUUAAAA